GACAGAGGGUGCAAACGUUGCUCGGAAUCACUGGGCGUAAAGGGCGUGUAGGCGGGCAUGCAAGUCAGGCGUGAAAUCCCUGGGCUCAACCCAGGAAUUGCACUUGAAACUGCAUGUCUUGAGUAUCAGAGAGGAAAGCGGAAUUCCUGGUGUAGAGGUGAAAUUCGUAGAUAUCAGGAGGAACACCGGUGGCGAAGGCGGCUUUCUGGACGAUAACUGACGCUGAGACGCGAAAGCGUGGGGAGCAAACAGG
rnacentral:rRNA from 1 species